AAACACUUACCGAAACUGAGUGAGCAUUAACCGCGUGUAAAGACGAAGGAAAAUAAAUGGAUUAAAGAAAAAUUAAGAAGAAGAAAAGGAAGAGAAAGAUAGAAAAACUUAGAGAAUUUCGGCAAGAGGAGAGGGAGAACAAUGGACGGCUAAAUUUUUUUGGAAAAGAGAGUCAAAACCCUAAACCCGAUAACCCCCAAAAUCCC
rnacentral:lncRNA from 1 species